UACGGAAGGUCCGGGCGUUAUCCGGAUUUAUUGGGUUUAAAGGGAGCGUAGGCCGGAGAUUAAGCGUGUUGUGAAAUGUAGACGCUCAACGUCUGCACUGCAGCGCGAACUGGUUUCCUUGAGUACGCACAAAGUGGGCGGAAUUUGUGGUGUAGCGGUGAAAUGCUUAGAUAUCACGAAGAACUCCGAUUGCGAAGGCAGCUCACUGGAGCGCAACUGACGCUGAAGCUCGAAAGUGCGGGUAUCGAACAGG
rnacentral:rRNA from 1 species